UGGGUGACGAGCGGCGGACGGGUGAGUAAUGUCUGGGAAACUGCCUGAUGGAGGGGGAUAACUACUGGAAACGGUAGCUAAUACCGCAUAACGUCGCAAGACCAAAGAGGGGGACCUUCGGGCCUCUUGCCAUCAGAUGUGCCCAGAUGGGAUUAGCUAGUAGGUGGGGUAAUGGCUCACCUAGGCGACGAUCCCUAGCUGGUCUGAGAGGAUGACCAGCCACACUGGAACUGAGACACGGUCCAGACUCCUACGGGAGGCAGCAGUGGGGAAUAUUGCACAAUGGGCGCAAGCCUGAUGCAGCCAUGCCGCGUGUGUGAAGAAGGCCUUCGGGUUGUAAAGCACUUUCAGCGAGGAGGAAGGUGGUGAACUUAAUACGUUCAUCAAUUGACGUUACUCGCAGAAGAAGCACCGGCUAACUCCGUGCCAGCAGCCGCGGUAAUACGGAGGGUGCAAGCGUUAAUCGGAAUUACUGGGCGUAAAGCGCACGCAGGCGGUUUGUUAAGUCAGAUGUGAAAUCCCCGGGCUCAACCUGGGAACUGCAUUUGAAACUGGCAAGCUAGAGUCUCGUAGAGGGGGGUAGAAUUCCAGGUGUAGCGGUGAAAUGCGUAGAGAUCUGGAGGAAUACCGGUGGCGAAGGC
rnacentral:rRNA from 1 species